GCGUAUCGUAUAUAGAGAAAGAACGAAGAUCUUCUAUCAUCUCAUCUACUCAAAUCUUGACAGUUUAUCGAUUGAGAAAGCGGCGGGCCCAGUGAACUCUCCAAUCGUGCACCUUUAUGGGGCCGGAGAGCCGGUAACCUUAGAUCGCCUAAGAUCGAAUGGAACUGGAUUGGAUUGAGACGGAAAAGAUAGAUAUAUAAAAUGUUCCGUGAUUGAAUUGUAGUCAGUCUUCACUUAACUCGACCCAAGCGAUGCCUACAUUCAAUCAAUUGAUUCGUCAUGGUAAAAAAGAAGAACGGCGCUUUUUUUCGGACCGUACUAGAGUUGAAUCUUCCCAAACUGAAGCUAGGAGUAGGCCCACGUCUUUCAACGAGAACACCGAAAAAACCAAAUUCAGCUCCACGUAAGAUAGCCAUACUUGUCUUUUUACUUUUAAUAGUUUUUGCCGUGACCUAUUUAGUCUGUAUUCUACUCGGCUUGGAUUGGACGAUUUUUGUAGUCAAAGUCCAAUCCAUGCUACUGGUAAGGUCGUUCCGCCUCCUUUUUCUUAGACUUGCCCCUUUGAUUGGGGAGGCGGUCGGUCGUCCCCCGGUACCCUAAUUCUUCUUCUUUGUAUUCUUUCUAGCCUGGGAGGCUAUACCUAUUACAACAUGGAAGAUCCAGCAAUCGGAUUCGGACUCGGACUCGGACUCGGAAGAGGAGAGGGUGGAAGCGGGGCCGGUUCUUCUCAGCGCCCGGUCUUGGAUCUUAAUCUGCCGCCGGUUUUGGCGGAAGGGACGAGCUCUCCGACCUUGUCGCGAAGCUCGAUCAAGUGGAGAGAGAGAUUCGCCACUUGAGCGAAUCCCGGAUCGAAUCGCCCGAGGAGGGUGAGGCGCGCCAAUUUAGUUUGUCUGGCCUCCAUACAGUUCUUGACGAAGUCGAGAACCUGUUGGAGCAAUCCCGACAACUGGAUGGGUCUCGUGACCAAGAACGGGCGCGACAGCGGGCGGAGCUUCGAGAGCCCUUUCGUCUUUAUGAGGAGGCGGAGGCCCUUCUUGAUGCUCGAAGGCAGGCCCUUGCGGAAGCAAGUCUUUCCCUCCAGCUACAACUCCGGGCCCAAGACCAAUUCCUUCAAGAAGGGCAGGAGGGAAGAGGUGGUUCAAGACCCCUGUGAGCAGUCUCUUUGAUCAAAUAAGGGAUCCGACCGCUCCUGGUGUUCGAACUAGUCAUUAAUGGUCGGC